GAUAGUAUAUUCUGGUUUAUUAUAGCUGAUCUGUACACCGUUACAGGUAUGGUGGUGAUCCACUGUUACAGGUAUGGUGGUGACAUACUGUUACAGUUAUGGUGGUGAUACACUGUUACAGGUAUGGCAUUGAUACACUGUUACAGGUAUGGGCGUGACAUACUGUUACAGGUAUGGUGGUGACAUACUGUUACAGUUAUGGUGGUGAUACACUGUUACAGGUAUGGUAGUGAUACACUGUUACAGGUAUGGUGGUGACAUACUGUUACAGUUAUGGUGGUGAUACACUGUUACAGGUAUGGUAGUGAUACACUGUUACAGGUAUGGUGGUGAUACACUGUUACAGGUAUGGGUGUGACAUGCUGUUACAGGUAUGGUGGUGAUCCACUGUUACAGGUAUGGUGGUGACAUACUGUUACAGUUAUGGUGGUGAUACACUGUUACAGGUAUGGUGGUGACACACUGUUACAGGUAUGGGUGUGACAUACUGUUACAGGGAUGGUGGCGAUACACUGUUACAGGUAUGGUGGUGAUACACUGUUACAGGUAUGGCAUUGAUACACUGUUACAGGUAUGGGUGUGACAUACUGUUACAGGUAUGGUGGUGAUACACUGUUACAGGUAUCGUGGUGAUACACUGUUACAGGUAUGGUGGUGAUACAAUGUUAC